GUUUAGAGCAAAUUAAUAACAGCCAGGCCUAAACUUGAGAGAGAGAUUUCAAUUUUGAGAACUAGUCAUGGCAGAGCAACUAUUCAUCAUUUCCAUGUGAGAGCUUAUCAUGAGGGUUCAUAGCAAACUUUAUUUAUUUAUUUAUUUAACAAACUAAGCAAAGAUAUAUAUAAGCACAAAAUCUUUAUUUGGGUUUUUUAUGAUUAUGCAUCUUUUUAUUAUUAAAGUAACGUAUAAACGUGAGUAGAAUACUUAGCUGGAUAAAUGGGGGUGCUCUCCCCCAAGCUGGAUUUUGAUGUAAUUCCUUCUGAUAUAGCUAGGAGGUGGCAGAGGUGUAUUUGAAUGUCGGCAGCACCCUGACAGCGAUUAGGAUGUCCUCCGUCUGCUAGUCUUCUUUGAUCCUUGAAUUAUGUGGAGCUCAAAUAGACAACAAAGCUCUUGGCAAGGGGUUCGGUGUUUUUAAGUCCUCCGAACGGGACUCUCUGCUUUCUCAGUCGUCCUGGGAUUCGCUGGAUGGCGUAGUCGGUGGUUCCGGCGGCGCCUGCUCUUCAUGUAUAACUAUCUUCUCUCUACACACCUGACUCAGUGCUACAGUCUCCUCAGGAUAGUUCUGUUCAAGUUGUAUAUGAGCAUAUGAGCAUGUGAGCAUGGAGUAAAUGAAGUGGCUAUGAAAUAAAUUCCAUGCUCAUUAAUGCUUAGAGUGAAAUCCAUGUGGUGUGGUAAAAAUGGUAAGGUGAAUGUGGUAAAAAAAGGAAAAGAAAAAGGAUACACGGACGACUUGGUUCGAAACUAGCACAACUACCGUUCCCCGGCAACGGCGCCAGAAAGCUUGUUGGGUAUUUUAAACACAAACAGAAAAAUCCGCAAGCGCACGGAUACCGAUGUAGCCUUCACCCGGGAGUAUUCCAGAGUAUCGAUUUUCCACAGAGAACGUGAGUGUACUAAUUAAGAUCCAAAAUCGCCCAAGGAUAACUAUAUAAUUAUUUUUGGUGGGAAGAGAGGAAGUUUCCUGAGAGUUCUCUAGUUGAUCUAAGAAUCAAGAAUUACUUCAAGAUUAUCUAUAUCGGGACAUCAGAGCACUAACCACAGAAAGAGAUGAGAAGGGGGCUAGGAAGGUCUGACUACGGUCCUACAAACACCGAUCAGAACGUGGUGGAAUACGUCGACCGUUAGGGCUGUCACUACCCUAAGGCUACCACAACAAUCCGCAGGAUUGGGUGCAAUUCCAGGUAAUUGCAAGACUAAACACCACGUCUAAUCUAUUAAUUACUACUCUAGCGUUAUAAAGACUAGAGCACUUGAUGCAAGCGGGAAUCCAAUAAAUAACUUGAAUGUAAAUAAAAGUAAUUAAAGAACUCAAGAAUUGUGAAUUGAAGAACCUGGAGAACGAUGAAGAACAAACCAGUUGCUGCAAAAGUAUAAUGUUGAGGAAGAUCCGACAGACCCGGCUCCUCCUCCGCUCUCCUCUUCUCUCUCCCUAUUUUCUAGAUUACAACUAGAACUAACUAGAACUAGAACUAGAGGAACUAGAACUAGAACUAGAUGAACUAGAACUAGAACUAGAACUAGAUGAACUAGAGGUAGAACUAGAAGAACUAGAGGGAUCCUCUCUACUUGGAUGAAGAAUUGAAACCCUAGCUUUGAUUCUGUAGAAGAGGUAUGCUCUCCAGGGGCCAGGGGGCCUUGCUUAUAUAGUCUUUUCAGAUGAAUCUGGGCCGUCGGAUCAAACCGACAUUAAUCGCACGGUUUUCCUUGGUCCCUUAGGUCGGUAGAGCACGAUCCGUGAAGUUGAAGCUGAUUGGUUACUGUAGCUGGGCGGGCACCCAAGGGACUUGGGCGGGCGCCCUGCCCCUGGGCCCGAUCGGCCUCCCGUUCGUUCCUGUGGCUUCUAGAGUCUUCUAGAUGGUAGAAAAUUGCGCGGCACGUUAAUAUCUCUAUGUAAACCCGACGUGUGGGCCUUUCUUUCAUAUUUCCUGAUAACCCCCUGCAGAAAUAGACAAACAACAAAACUCGUGGAAUUAUGUCAGAUAAAACCCUAAGUCUGGGUGUUGGUUGCAUUUGGAUCCUUUUCCAUGAUUAGUUGAUGGUUAAAUGUGAGCAUUAAGGACCGUCAACGAGCUCCCCCAAGCUUAACCUUUUCUCGUCCCUGAGCAAAGAUGGACUCAAGAGUUUCUGCAGUGGUUUUAUGCCUUAAAAAUACACAUUCGUUCAAACAAGAUCUCAUCUCUAGGUUAGGGUAAACUGUUAAAAUUUAAACUUACUCAUAUUACCUUCCACCAUGGGGCUUGCAACCGUCACUUGUGUCUUGAGCAGUUAAAAGAUAGAACGGUCUAGUCAAGCGCCAUGUCUCUUAUUCUUGAUCAACUAUAGCUCUAGAGUUUUUGCAGAUUUUCAAAUAAAACUCAGAGAUUCCUUAUAUGACUCUUUCUAGACUCUCUUUUGUGGUAUUUCUGGAUCCUUACCAAGGCAGUAAUGGUGUAUGCCUUCUCUCAAAGUAUGUGGUAUUUUUGGUUUGAGGCAUAGUGGCAUUACCUUCUCUCUCACCCUACUCUAAUAAGGUUUUGAUAUCUGGAGCUCAUAGGUGGGAGACAGCUAAUACAUACUUACAAGACAUUUAUUGCAUAGUCAAACCAUGGAUCCAGAAGAACAAGUCAAUAAGUCAAAUCAAGAUGUGCAUCUGUGGCGAAUGAAUGGUGAUAACAAUGGUGAUGAUGGUCAUAACCAUGGUGCAAGUCUAAUUCUACUUGUGCUCUUUUGAGUGGGGUACAUACCUUUCUUUCUCUUUUAAAACUUUUUGAGGAGAAUGAGAUGCUCUAUAUUUUCUUUUUCUUUUCUCUCAGGUGGGUAACUUGUACCCCUAAUUCUACUAUCGGACACUUGUCCAUUUUUACCUCUCGUCUUACUUUUUUUUUCUUUUGAGGUUCCGGGCACUUGCCCCUUUUUAUUUCCUCGUAUUUGUUUCUUCUUCUUCUUCUUUUUUUUAUUAGAGCACUCAUCUCAUGAGAUAAUAUAGCAAGUGGUAGUAACAAGAUAGCUUGAGCAUUUAUUUCACAGGGAAAAACAGAAAUAUUUUUGGCUAUUCUCACCCGGAUUAGGAGUAGAAUAUUUUUGGGUGGUUCUGGAGAUGGAAAUGGAUAUAUAUGGAUGGUACUUCCGGAGUAGAAGUAGCAUGUGUGAGUGAAUGUGCAAGUGAAUCUUGACUUAACCACAUGACAAGCUCCUAAGGGUCUACACAGCUUGACCACACUCAAUGCUCAUAAGCAGUAAAAAGUAAAUGUGUGGCUCAAAGUCUAGCAAGCAUGUAUAUAUGGCUGUGGUAGGAAUUUAAACUCUCAUCAUAUAGGAACUCAUCAUGCAACAUUUUAAAGAUUUUCAAAGAUAAAAUUCUCCAGAAUUCUAGCAUCUCAAGGAACAGAUAAACAACAGCUCAACCUUCCCAUAACAUAUCAGUUAACGACUUAGACUUCAGAUCAAGUACUCUUCCCACAAGUUCAGGUUUAGAGCAAAUUAAUAACAGCCAGGCCUAAACUUGAGAGAGAGAUUUCAAUUUUGAGAACUAGUCAUGGCAGAGCAACUAUUCAUCAUUUCCAUGUGAGAGCUUAUCAUGAGGGUUCAUAGCAAACUUUAUUUAUUUAUUUAUUUAACAAACUAAGCAAAGAUAUAUAUAAGCACAAAAUCUUUAUUUGGGGUUUUUAUGAUUAUGCAUCUUUUUAUUAUUAAAGUAACGUAUAAACGUGAGUAGAAUACUUAGCUGGAUAAAUGGGGGUGCUCUCCCCCAAGCUGGAUUUUGAUGUAAUUCCUUCUGAUGUAGCUAGGAGGUGGCGGAGGUGUAUUUGAAUGUCGGCAGCACCCUGACAGCGAUUAGGAUGUCCUCCGUCUGCUAGUCUUCUUUGAUCCUUGAAUUAUGUGGAGCUCAAAUAGACAACAAAGCUCUUGGCAAGGCGUUUUGUGUUUUUAAGUCCUCCGAACGGGACUCUCUGCUUUCUCAGUCGUCCUGGGAUUCGCUGGAUGGCGUAGUCGGUGGUUCCGGCGGCGCCUGCUCUUCAUGUAUAACUAUCUUCUCUCUACACACCUGACUCAGUGCUACGGUCUCCUCAGGAUAGUUCUGUUCAAGUUGUAUGUCUUCAGACCUUACUACUUCUCCUUCGUAGUCUGCCCAUCCGUCCUUGAUGACGUUCCUCCUCUGGUUGCGGUUGCAUUGUCUUCUUCUUGUCCUGACCUACUUAGAGUCUUCAACUAUAUAGUUAGGGUCAGUAGAAUAGCGGCGUACCUUGUUAGUGGGGAAGUGCAUGUGGACUUCUCUGGUUCCAAUGUAUAUGAUUGCUUUAAUGGUGCUAAAGAACGGUCUUCCAAGGAUGAUGGGUGGAUCGUACUCGUCUUCUCCCAUGUCAAUAACCUUCAAUCUUUUAGAAUGUCUGAUCUGCCAUCUGAAGCUGAAUGUAUGUUAGUUUUAGGGGCAUGGUUCCGAAUAGGAGCUGAUAGGUGACUGGCGGCCAUUAUGUUGACGCACCCGGUGUCGCAAAGCAUCUUCUGGAAGUUGUAUCCAUCAAUGGAGCACUGGAUGCUUGGUAUACUUGGGUCGUCCUUUUUGGUUAGGAAUGGUGACUUAAGUCGACGAUCUUGACCUCCUUGAACUGCAGUGACCAUCUUCGCUGACUUGGUCCACAUUUGCUUGUUCCUGUUCCUCCUGUUGGUCCUCUUCCUUGUUUCAUGUCGGGAUUGCUCUGAGAUUUGUGUAGUCUUAUUCUUGAAGGUAAACGUCUCCUUCCUCCCCUUGAUAUAGAAACUGAUCUUGGCAGCACUAGCAUAGAUGACAGCUCCCAAGGUGUUCAGGAAUGGCCUCCCUAGGAUGAUGGGUGCCCUCUCAUCAGUACCAGUCUCUAUCACCACGAAGUCUGCUAGGGCGUACAAGGUACCAACUCGGACGUAGAGGUUCUUUAUUAUUCCCUUUGGGAAACUUAGCGUACGAUCUACAAGCUGCAAACACAUGGCUGUCUCUAAUAAAGGAUGUGUAAAGAAUUUUUCAUAGAGUACCCUGGGCAUAAUGUUGACGCUAGAGCCAAAGUCGCAGAGUGCUUCUAGGAAGUCCACCAUGCCGAUGGAGAUCGGGAUGACGGGGCAUCCUGGAUUGUCUCUCUUGACCGGCAGAAGGUCAGUAAUUACUUCCACAACGGGGUUACUCCAGUAGUUACGUCCUCAAGCAUCUCAGGGCAGUGAUUGCCUGAGUGUCCAGUAUCUCUAGUGUGUUUGUGCUCGUAGAUCUAGGUUCUUCACUUGGUGGAGUCUGGGAAUUGUAAAACUUCUUCAUAUUUUGCUCGAAGUGUACCUGCUCAUAGAGACAAGGCAGAGAUCAAGUGUAUGGGCCCUGUUGGUGGAAAACACCAACAGAACCAAAAGUGUAUUUGUUCUUCUCUAACCUCAAGCAUAGUGAGCAAGACAAAGUUGAUGGAUAAUAAAAUCAUGAGUGUAGUAUUUAACAUUUGUCAGAUUAGAUUGCUCAACCUUAUGGAAAGAUAAUCUAUCUAUAUAUAUGUUUUGUUUAUAUCUUCCAAAGAUUGAGUGUGCAACAUUUUAGCUUAGAUGAUUAGGAGUAUGGGAUCACAAAGGUGGAAGGACUAAACAUGUUGAAUCGAUUAGGUUGGUUAAUCUAGAGUUGUAAAUCAUACAUGUUUGUCUCUUUUAUUCAUGUGAAUGCCAGAACAAAGGAGAAGCUUAUAGAAGUGAUAGUCAAGUACCUUAAGAUGUUACCUUACUUGAAGAGUGAUGGUACAGUAUCACCUUGUGGAAGCUUUCCUCUCUUAGCGGUUGUGCAUUGUGUUUGUGGCACCCUCCAUGGAUCAUCUCUUGUGAGCUAUGCCUUUCUUGUGUAAAUUGUUAAACUUCAUGUGUGUCUCUCUUUGUCUCCAAUGUGAGUUUAUCUCUGGACUUCCCAGGUCGAUAUUGAAAGUUUUCCUGCAGGGGUUAGUCCAACAAAAUAUACCAAUGCCUACACAAGCAGUUUUUAGUUCAAUAACCAAACUAGACUCCAUGUCUAAUUAGAUUAAGGAAGGCUGUUUAACCUAAGCACCAUGCUUAAUUUAAAAACCAAUAGAAGUAUGUACAGUACUUCCAAACUAACACUUACUAGGAUAAACAAAGGUAGCGUGAUGGCUUUUAUAGAGAUCUACUCAAGUGGAGAUGAAGUAGUGUGAUUACUAUUUAACAAAUUGAGCAUGUCUCAAAGGUAGGGACAACCAACAUAGCAACAUGGCAAAGGAUGUUUUUAUGUAAAGUACUCCCCCAAGCUUGAAUUUCGCAAAAUUCAAGUUUGGAUGAAUUUAAUUCAAUGUUGUAUGAUGAUUGGUUGGACAUACCUUGUGCUUGUCAUUCAUCCGAUCUUCUUGCUCCAAUCCUGGAAAGGUUAGUGACAAGAAUACCCGAAGGAAUAUUUUUACAAUUAUCCUUAUAUGCUCAAUACACAAGGUAAUGUUGCAAAUAAUUAAAAGUUCAUGUUAUGAUCUAAUAAGUGCUUGUUUUAGGACACUGAGCUUGUCCUUGGGAAACCAUCAAUUUAUGUCAGCGAAGUGGUUUCCCCUCCAACGCUGACCUAUAUCAAGAUCAACUCAACGAGAUCUAUAAUAUUUAAUAUAGACAUUUGCAUCGACAACCGCCCUUUUAAAGUUUUUAUAAAUAGAAAGGAUGAGGGGGUUGGAGAUCUUGAAUGUGGUGAUGUUGGAGAGACCAAUGGAUUGGUAAUAUGUUGCAUAUGAGCAUGGAGUAAAUGAAGUGGCUAUGAAAUAAAUUCCAUGCUCAUUAAUGCUUAGAGUGAAAUCCAUGUGGUGUGGUAAAAAUGGUAAGGUGAAUGUGGUAA
rnacentral:lncRNA from 1 species